rnacentral:lncRNA from 1 species
UAGAUAUUAUAUAAUCCCCAAAGCAUAAAUAAUCACUAGAAAAUAUUAUAUGAAAUAUAAGUGCAACAUAUCAUCAAGUAUUUCAUACCAAACAUAAACUUAAUGCAUGAAUAAACAACAUAAAUGAAGAAAAAUAUCGAAUAACCUGUUACCAAAUUAUCAAGCCACGUGGAUCACUGUGCGUUGUUGUUCGUUUGUAUUGGACGUGAUAAGAGGUGUGGAGGGUGGUGAUGAUUUAGUGAGGUUUGAGCUUAAGGUUAAUCCAAGGUGUUUUCCAGCGGAAUUGUAUUGGUGGUUUCGUAUGUCGGCGAUUGGGUGGUUCAUGAUGCGAAAAUGGAGGUGGGCGGAGGUUGUUGUAUGGUGAAGCUUCAGGUAAGGUAGUAUGGCAACAAAGGUGAUAAAGCUUUGAGGAGGCAAAUGAAGGUGUUGUAAUGGAAUGUUGGGAGAGAUUAGUAACUGAAGGAGGGGGUUAUGAAGUGAAAAUGCCGGUGAAGUUUAGUUAUAAUAACUAAUGAUUUUUGAAUCUCUAGGGAAGAUGAAGACAGAAUAUCGUCGGCGGGAAGAGUAUUCAACAUCCAGAAGAAAAAAAUUAAAUCUUUCACGUUUUCUUUCUUCAACCACCUUUCUUAACUUUUUCUUAUUUUUAUGAUAUCAUGAUGUAUGAGAGAUGCAUGGUGGUUUGAGAGUAGCAUAGAGGAAAAUGAAAGAUUUUCUCCCUCUAUUCACAUU